GGGGGGGUACUCGUUUAAUAAUAAAUUUUAUCUCCUGAAGGCUUGAAGUUGUAUAUAGUUGGUAUAUUGGGUUGCUAUUUUAUUUUUUUGUUCUGAAAGUUUUAUUUUAGCUUGAAAUUUUAGUUUACUUCUUUUUUACAUGUAAAUUUUAUUUGCUUAUAUAGUUUUCUCGCAGUAUUUUGUAUUGAAUAUUUGGUUAUUCGAGAUUCAGAAAUUAGUAGGAGUUUUAAUUGAACUUGUGCCUGCAAUUGCGGUUAUACAGGUAAUGCAGCUGAAAUUUUUUGGUUAGUAAUUAGUUGACAAUGAUGUACUUUUAGCCUAGAUUUUGGGGGUGAAAUUUGAAAUUUGGUUGAGGUUUAUUAUUGGUUAUGAAGUUGUUAAAGUUUGAUUAUAAACUAGGAUUAGAUACCCUAUUAUUCUGACUGUAAAAUCUUGUGCCUGAUUAUUAUUAGAUUAUUUUCUUGAAAAUUAAAAAAUUUGGCGGUAUCUCAGUCUAUUCAGAGGAAUCUGUCCCAUAAUCGAUAGCCCACGAUUUGCUUUACUUUCUUUAUUAGUUUGUAUAUCGUCGUGGUUGGUUAUUUCAGUAGAAUAAAAAUGCUCAGUUCUUUUUAUAAAAAGGCAUGUCAGAUCAAGGUGCAGCUUAUGAGAAAGGUGGAGAUGGAUUACGGUGAGUGUUAUUCUUGGUUUACAUUCUUUUAAUGGGGGUAAUAAAUAGGAUUUGAUAGUAAUAUUGUUUAGAUUUUCUAUGUGAUUGAGGCUCUGAGGUAUGCACACAUCGCCCG
rnacentral:rRNA from 1 species